rnacentral:rRNA from 1 species
AACGAACGCUGGCGGCAUGCCUAACACAUGCAAGUCGAACGAGACCUUCGGGUCUAGUGGCGCACGGGUGCGUAACGCGUGGGAACCUGCCCUUAGGUUCGGAAUAACUCCCCGAAAGGGGUGCUAAUACCGGAUAAUGUCUUCGGACCAAAGAUUUAUCGCCUUUGGAUGGGCUCGCGUUGGAUUAGCUAGUUGGUAGGGUAAACGCCUACCAAGGCGACGAUCCAUAGCUGGUCUGAGAGGAUGAUCAGCCACACUGGGACUGAGACACGGCCCAGACUCCUACGGGAGGCAGCAGUGGGGAAUAUUGGACAAUGGGCGAAAGCCUGAUCCAGCAAUGCCGCGUGAGUGAUGAAGGCCUUAGGGUUGUAAAGCUCUUUUACCCGGGAUGAUAAUGACAGUACCGGGAGAAUAAGCUCCGGCUAACUCCGUG